AUACAGAGGUUGCAAGCGUUAAUCGGAAUUACUGGGCGUAAAGCGCACGUAGGUGGUUAGAUAAGUCGGAUGUGAAAGCCCCGAGCUCAACUUGGGAAUUGCAUUCGAUACUGUCUGACUAGAGUAUGAUAGAGGGAAGCGGAAUUCCACAUGUAGCGGUGAAAUGCGUAGAUAUGUGGAGGAACAUCAGUGGCGAAGGCGGCUUCCUGGAUCAAUACUGACACUGAGGUGCGAAAGCGUGGGGAGCAAACAGGAUUAGAAACCCCGGUAGUCC
rnacentral:rRNA from 1 species